rnacentral:rRNA from 1 species
GACGAACGCUGGCGGCGUGCUUAACACAUGCAAGUCGAACGGAAAGGCCCUGCUUUUGUGGGGUGCUCGAGUGGCGAACGGGUGAGUAACACGUGAGUAACCUGCCCUUGACUUUGGGAUAACUUCAGGAAACUGGGGCUAAUACCGGAUAGGAGCUCCUGCUGCAUGGUGGGGGUUGGAAAGUUUCGGCGGUUGGGGAUGGACUCGCGGCUUAUCAGCUUGUUGGUGGGGUAGUGGCUUACCAAGGCUUUGACGGGUAGCCGGCCUGAGAGGGUGACCGGCCACAUUGGGACUGAGAUACGGCCCAGACUCCUACGGGAGGCAGCAGUGGGGAAUAUUGCACAACGGGCGGAAGCCUGAUGCAGCAACGCCGCGUGCGGGAUGACGGCCUUCGGGUUGUAAACCGCCUUCGCCUGUGACGAAGCGUGAGUGACGGUAAUGGGUAAAGAAGCACCGGCUAACUACGUG